ensembl:lncRNA
UGUUUUUUUCUGAAUCACACAGUUUCCAUAGAUGGAUAUUUUGGGUAUAUAUGGACCGAUUUAAUCGAAAAAAAGACCCAAUAGUGAUGUUUAUGGGACAUAUAGGAGUGCCAACAAAGAAGCUCGUCCAAGGACAAUUACCCAACUCCAGGCUGUGUAAGGACUAUUUUACCAAGAAGGAGAGUGAUGGAGUGCUGCAUCACAUGACCGGGCCUCCACAAUCCCCCGAUUAACCUUAUUGGGAUGGUUUGGGAUGAGUCGGACCACAGAGUGAAGGAAAAACAACCAACAAGUGCUCAGCAUAUGUGGGAACUCCUUGAAGACUGUUGGAAAAGCAUUCCAGGACCUGAGCCCUAGGACCAUGCGUCAGGACUACCUGGCAUGAUGACUCCUUGCUGUCCCCAGUCCACCUGGCCCUGCUGCUGUUCCAGUUUUAACUGUUCUGCCUGCGGCUAUGGAACCCUAAACUGUUCAUUU